rnacentral:rRNA from 1 species
GGCUCCUACGGGACGCAGCAGUGGGGAAUAUUGCACAAUGGGGGAAACCCUGAUGCAGCGACGCCGCGUGAGUGAAGAAGCGCCUCGGCGCGUAAAGCUCUGUCAGCAGGAACGAUAAUGACGGUACCUGAAGAAGAAGCCCCGGCUAACUACGUGCCAGCAGCCGCGGUAAUACGUAGGGUGCGAGCGUUAAUCGGAAUUACUGGGCGUAAAGGGUGUGCAGGUGGUUUUGCAAGAUGGAUGUGAAAGCCCCGGGCUUAACCUGGGAAAGCCAUACAUGACUGCAAGACUAGAGUGCGUCAGAG